GGGCCCGUAGUUCAGUUGGUUAGAACAGGCCGCUCAUAACGGUCAUGUCGCAGGUUCGAGUCCUGCCGGGCCCACCA
rnacentral:tRNA from 2 species